rnacentral:rRNA from 1 species
UUCCGGUUGAUCCUGCCGGAGGCGACCGCUUUUGGAGUUCGAUUAAGCCAUGCGAGUCGAGAGCCUUAGGGGCUCGGCAUACUGCUCAGUAACACGUGGAUAACCUGCCCUAUUGUCUGGAAUAACCUCGGGAAACUGAGAACAAGGCCGGAUAACCCACUAUGCCUGGAACGGUUUGUGGGUGAAGAUAGGAUGGGUCUGCGGCGUAUCAGGUCGUAGGGGGUGUAAUGGACCUCCUAGCCAUCGACGCGUACGGGUGUUGGGAGACAUAGCCCGGAGAUGGAUUCUGAGACACGAAUCCAGACCCUACGGGGUGCAGCAGGCGCGAAAACUUCACACUGCAGGAAACUGUGAUGAGGGAACUCCAAGUGCAUCCACUAUGUGGAUGCUUUUUUUGACUAUUAAUCGGUCAACGAAUAAGGGCUGGGAAAGACCGGUGCCAGCCGCCGCGGUAAUACCGGCAGCUCAAGUGGUCGUCGCUUUUAUUGGGCCUAAAACGUCCGUAGCCUGUUUGGUAAAUCUAUGGGUAAAUCAACCAGCUUAACUGGUUGAAUUCUGCAGAGACUGCCAGACUAGGGACCGGGAGAGGUGUGGGGUACUCUAGGGGUAGGGGUAAAAUCCUGUCAUCCUUAGAGGACCACCAGUUGCGAAGGCGCCACACUGGAACGGAUCCGACGGUCAGGGACGAAGCCUAGGGGCACGAACCGGACUAGAUACCCGGGUAGUCCUAGGUGUAAACGCUGUGAACUUGGUGUCGGGGAUCCGUCAUGGGUCCCCGGUGCCGGAGUGAAGAUGUUAAGUUCACUGCCUGGGGAGUACGGUCGCAAGGCUGAAACUUAAAGGAAUUGGCGGGGGAGCACUGCAACGGGAGGAGCGUGCGGUUUAAUUGGAUCAACGCCGGA